CUGUCCCACUGGAAAUGAAAAGUGGAAAUUCCCAUGAAUAUCUGACAUAGAAACAGAAACAAUUAAAAUAUCUCUUUUAUCUCUCAUCCAUGUUCAAAUAAAUUGAAGAGCAACUCACUAACACUGAGGGAGAAAAAUAUUAAUGUUCCCAGGAGUGACAUCCUACUGUCUGCCACACUGUGUCACCAGGGAGAAGGCAGGAAAGUGAGGAACCUGGUUGGAAUGUCCAGGGCAGGGGGCGGAGAGUAUGGGAGGAGGAAAUGGUGGGUCAGGUGGUCCCAUGGAGGCCUGUGCAACCUGAUGCUGAGAUGAGCAGUUUCAAGGGUUCUGACAACACUCUUGUGCUGAACUGACAGGAAAUAUGCUUCAUGAUCCGGACAGACUGAAAGGUCAGGAACUGUUACUCACCUGCCCAGAAGGACAAGAAGGUGAAUGCUUCCAGCAGAGACAUCCUGUGAACAGACCGUGUCCUCAAAGAGAAGCAGGAAAGCGGUGACCAGGACUCCUGAUAGUUCAGGGUGCUUCAGAGAGAGUGGCACCUAUGCCUGCUGGUCUCUCUGGUAGUCAGUUGAAUCUGAAGUAGUGUCUCGAGCCUUCAAUACAAUGUUGAAUAGAAGUGGCAGGAGCAGAAGCCAUCAUCUUGUUCCUGGUCCUUGAGGAAAAGCACUCAGUCUUUCAGCAUAAAGUAUGGGACAGCUGUAGGUGCCCUUUAUGAGGCUGAGGAAGUUCCAUUUUAUUCCUAGUGUGUUGAAAGUUUUUAUAAUGAAUGAGCAUUGGACUUUACAAAUGCUUUUAAUGCCUCUGUUGAGAGAAUCAUGUGGUUUUUUUCUUAUAUCCAAUUAAUAUUGUAUUUUACAUUAAUUAAUUUUUAUAUGUUAAACCAACUGUUUACUUUGGGGAUAAAUGGCAGUUGGUCGUGUUAUAUAAUCUAUUAUGUGUGUUUGUGGUUUUGAUUUGC